rnacentral:lncRNA from 1 species
AUGUUUUCCAUAAUUAUAAAUAAAAUACUGAUCACUUUGACCUCUUUACAAGCUAGUAAUUUUCAUGUUUUAGUUUUAGUUCCUUUUCCCAUUAGGUCUCUGAUAUUUUUAAAGAGUGAACCAAACGGCAAAUAUUUUUUUAUUCAUCUUUUUUCCAGGGGGAGGCCAUCACUGUGUGCUGCCUUAAUGCCACUUACACCUGAAAGAGGGUACAAGUCCUGGAGGCAGAACAGCCAUGCUAUGACCAUGAAGAAGAAAACCAUGCAGGUCCUGAUGACAUCCUCGAGCAGCUGUGCUUGUUUGGAUUAUCUUGUGUCUUCUCGUUAUGGGAAGAAAAUCAGUCUCAUUUGGUUAAGCUACUGAGUUGCGUCCAUGCAACUGAAUGCAAUCCGAGCUAAUAUGAUAUUAUGUCCCUUUUCUUAAAGCAUAUUAGACAUUCUGAGAAGUCCUAUUUAGCUGUGUUUAACCUAACAUUGAUAUCAUUUGACUACAGAACACUUCGUCCUCAGAACACUUAGUAUAUCUCACUGAGCAUGAGUAUUCUGCAGAAAUUUGGAAAAUACUACUCAUUUUGCAUUGAUUCAGCACCCUGACCGUGGUAACCUUCUACCAAGAUAGGAAACCUAGGAGGAGUACAUGCUGGGGGGGGGGAGUGAGUUUCAUUUUACAUGUACUGAAUUUGAGAUGUCUGAGAGCAGCUGUCCAUCGAAAGCCCUGAAGCUCACAAGAGACAUUUAGAAACAAACAAGGUAUUGAAAUCCACCGUUCCUUGGGUUAAACUGUGAUUGGCUUUUUUUUUUCCUUUUUUUUUUUUUUUUUUUUUGGCUUUUUGGGGCCACACCUUGGGCAUAUGGAGGGUUCCAGGCUAGGGGUCGAAUCAGAGCUACAGCUGUCGGUCUACACCACAGCCACAGCAACGCAGGAUCCUAGCCACAGCUGCGACCUACACCACAGCUCACGGUGAUGCCAGAUCCUUAACAAGGCCAGGGAUUGAAACUGUGUCCUUGGGGAUGCAAGUCAGAGUCAUUUCCUGAGCCACAGCUGGAACUCUUUUUUUUUGGUACGUGUAAUUGUUAAGGUAGAAAACAUUCUACAAGCGUUUUUACCCGUGAGGAAAAUGACAGUCUCGUUUUGAAUCCCUUCUUUAACUGCCUUGCUAUGCCGCCUCUCUUGAACGAGGAGAUGGAAAGAAUACAGUGCUUCAAGUCAGACACACUGGAGUUCAAAUCCUGCUCUGUCCGUUUACUUAGCUAUGUGACCUUGGCUCAGGGAUUUUAACGUCUCUGAACUUCAAUUUUCUCAUCAAGGGGCUGACAGUCUAACCUUAGAGAGUUGCUGUGAGAAUUAUAAAAUACUCGACAUGGUGCCUGGUAAAUUUUAGCUGCUCCAUCUCCCUCUGGCUAGAAAAGAUACGGUGCUUCACACUGUCCUCUCCUGUGUGAUGCCUUUUAUAUAGCUAAAUAGCAUUUACAAUUAGGCCAUGGCAAUGCUUUAGUUUCUGCCUACUAAAUAUCCACAUGUAACUCGAAGAUAGAAUUUGAAGGCAGGUUAAAUGAAAUUGUAUGUACUUGAUGGAUUUGAAUUUUACUAUUUUAUAUAUUUAACAAAACAAAGCACCUCCUAUGUGUCUUGCUUUUUUCUACCACUUCCUAAAUGAGUUAAUAUUAACUCAUUUAACAUUUAUAAUAACUUUAUUAAUUAGAUACUGUUAUUAUUCCCAUAUGGAAGAAAAAGAAAUAGUUGCACCAGGAAGUUACAUACCUUGCCCACAGCCACACAGCUAGCAGGUGGAAAAGCCAGGCUUCAAAUCUGGGUAGUCAGAUCCCAUAGUUCAGGCUUCCAAUUACUAAACUACAAUAUAAAAGAUAUAAAUAAAUAAAAGGAAUUACUCUUCUUGCUGUCCUCU